rnacentral:rRNA from 1 species
UGGAUGGCAUGGGCGAAGCCUGAUCCGCCUGCCGCGUGUGUGAAGAAGGUCUUCGGAUUGUAAAGCACUUUAAGUUGGGAGGAAGGGCAGUAAGUUAAUACCUUGCUGUUUUGACGUUACCAACAGAAUAAGCACCGGCUAACUUCGUGCCAGCAGCCGCGGUAAUACGAAGGGUGCAAGCGUUAAUCGGAAUUACUGGGCGUAAAGCGCGCGUAGGUGGUUCAGCAAGUUGGAUGUGAAAUCCCCGGGCUCAACCUGGGAACUGCAUCCAAAACUACUGAGCUAGAGUACGGUAGAGGGUGGUGGAAUUUCCUGUGUAGCGGUGAAAUGCGUAGAUAUAGGAAGGAACACCAGUGGCGAAGGCGACCACCUGGACUGAUACUGACACUGAGGUGCGAAAGCGUGGGGAGCAAACAGGAUUACAUACCCUGGUAGUCCACGCCGUAAACCAUGUCAACUAACCGUUGGGAUCCUUGAGAUAUUAUUGGCGCACCUCACGCGAUAAUUCAACCGCCUGGGGAGUACUGCCGCAAGGUU